AACGAACGUUAGCGGCGCGCUUAACACAUGCAAGUCGAGCGAGAAAGGGGCAACCCCGGUAAAGCGGCGCACGGGUGAGUAACACGUAGGUAAUCUACCCUCGGGUGGAGGAUAACUUUCCGAAAGGAAGGCUAAUACUGCAUGAGACCACGACCUCGAAAGGGGAUGGGGUCAAAGCCGGCCUCUGUACACAAGCUGGCGCCUGAGGAUGAGCCUGCGGCCCAUCAGCUAGUUGGUAGGGUAAUGGCCUACCAAGGCGAAGACGGGUAGCUGGUCUGAGAGGAUGAUCAGCCACACUGGAACUGAGACACGGUCCAGACUCCUACGGGAGGCAGCAGUGGGGGAAUCUUGCGCAAUGGGCGAAAGCCUGACGCAGCGACGCCGCGUGAGUGAUGAAGGCCUUCGGGUUGUAAAGCUCUGUGGAGAGGGACGAAUAAGUGUUGGCGUAACAUCCAGCAUGAUGACGGUACCUCUUUAGUCAAGCACCGGCUAACU
rnacentral:rRNA from 1 species